rnacentral:rRNA from 1 species
GAUGAACGCUGGCGGCGUGCUUAACACAUGCAAGUCGAACGAUGAACCUCACUUGUGGGGGGAUUAGUGGCGAACGGGUGAGUAACACGUGAGUAACCUGCCCUUGACUCUGGGAUAAGCCUGGGAAACCGGGUCUAAUACUGGAUACGACCUUCUGGCGCAUGCCAUGUUGGUGGAAAGCUUUUGUGGGUUUGGAUGGACUCGCGGCCUAUCAGCUUGUUGGUGGGGUAAUGGCCUACCAAGGCGACGACGGGUAGCCGGCCUGAGAGGGUGACCGGCCACACUGGGACUGAGACACGGCCCAGACUCCUACGGGAGGCAGCAGUGGGGAAUAUUGCACAAUGGGCGCAAGCCUGAUGCAGCGACGCCGCGUGAGGGAUGAAGGCCUUCGGGUUGUAAACCUCUUUCAGUAGGGAAGAAGCCGGCUUUUGGGUUGGUGACGGUACCUGCAGAAGAAGCGCCGGCUAACUACGUG